CAUAUUUUAACAUGUCUAAAAUAAUAAUUACAUAUUUAAAUGUUUAAUACUUGGUAGGUUUCAAAAAUGUUGUCUUUCAUCCAUGUUGUUGUUACUAACAGCAACAGUCCGAUGAUACUUAAAAAUUUGCAACACCUCAUGUAUACGCAACCUGUAAAAGAUCGCAACAUAAUUCCACUGGUUGAUGACAGAAAAGUCCCUGCUGUGUUUUGCUUUUGGGAUUAAAUAUAUUCCAGUGCAAGCGUUGUGGAUAAUGCCUCCCUUUUGACCCAAACCUUAGUUUUGACCCAUCUGUGAUUCUUGAUCAGACAUGUCUGUAGUUGCUGAUGUGCAUAGGAGGGGAAAUCCUUUGUCAAGCAUUUCUGUAUAGGAAAAUGUAUGAUUUCUGAUUUGGUUCUUCCAUGGCUUCCAAUUUUAUCCACGUAAAUUGUUUAGAAAAAGCAGUGCUAUACCAGAGUGACAAACACAAUCAUCAAAAUUGCCAUCGAUGGUUUGCCUGGAAGUGAAAGUGGCAAGGAGCAGGAAGUUGAAUUUUCAAGGAGCAGAACAGCAAUGCAGGAAGAUCAAUGUCUUCUGUGCCCUUAGGUCGUGAUCAAUACUUUUAAUAAAACUUCCUUUUCUACCUUU